rnacentral:rRNA from 1 species
CCCUUAGACGUUCUGGGCCGCACGCGCGCUACACUGACGAAGGCAACGAGCUUUCCUUUACCGAAAGGUACGGGUAAUCUUUUGAAACUUCGUCGUGCUGGGGAUAGAUCCUUGCAAUUUUUGAUCUUAAACGAGGAAUGCCUAGUAAGCGCAAGUCAUCAACUUGCGUUGAUUACGUCCCUGCCCUUUGUACACACCGCCCGUCGCUACUACCGAUUGAAUGGCUUAGUGAGGCCUUCGGAUCCGCGACUCGUUUGUGGAGAAGUUGGACAAACUCAGUCAUUUAGAGGAAGUAAAAGUCGUAACA